AUUGAACGCUGGCGGCAGGCUUAACACAUGCAAGUCGAACGAGCGGCGGACGGGUGAGUAAUGUCUGGGAAACUGCCUGAUGGAGGGGGAUAACUACUGGAAACGGUCGCUACUACCGCAUACUAUCAGAUGAGCCCAGGUGGGAUUAGCUAGUUGGUGGGGUAAAGGCUCACCAAGGCGACGAUCCGUACCUGGUCUGAGAGGAUGACCAGCCACACGGGAACUGAGACACGGUCCAGACGCCUACGGUAGGCAGCAGUGGGGAAUAUUGGACAAGGGGGGAAAGCCUGAUGCAGCCAUGCCGCGUGUGUGAAGAAGGUCUUCGGGUUGUAAAGCACUUUAAGUGAGGAGGCGUUACCAGCAGAAGAAGCACCGGCUAACUUCGUGCCAGCCGCCGCGGUAAUUC
rnacentral:rRNA from 1 species